rnacentral:rRNA from 1 species
CUACGGGGGGCACCAGUGGGGAAUAUUGCACAAUGGGGGGAACCCUGAUGCAGCAACGCCGCGUGGAGGAUGACACAUUUCGGUGCGUAAACUCCUUUUAUAUAAGAAGAUAAUGACGGUAUUAUAUGAAUAAGCACCGGCUAACUCCGUGCCAGCAGCCGCGGUAAUACGGGGGGUGGCAAGCGUUACUCGGAAUCACUGGGCGUAAAGAGCAUGUAGGCGGGUAGAAAAGUUGGAAGUGAAAUCCUAUGGCUUAACCAUAGAACUGCUUCCAAAACUCUUUACCUAGAAUAUGGGAGAGGUAGAUGGAAUUUCUGGUGUAGGGGUAAAAUCCGUAGAGAUCAGAAGGAAUACCGAUUGCGAAGGCGAUCUACUGGAACAUUAUUGACGCUCAGAUGCGAAAGCGUGGGGAGCAAACAGGAUUAGAUACCCUCGUAGUC